AUUGAACGCUGGCGGAAUGCUUUACACAUGCAAGUCGAACGGCAGCACGGACUUCGGUCUGGUGGCGAGUGGCGAACGGGUGAGUAAUGUAUCGGAACGUGCCCAGUCGUGGGGGAUAACGUAGUGAAAAUUACGCUAAUACCGCAUACGAUCUAUGGAUGAAAGCGGGGGAUCGCAAGACCUCGCGCGAUUGGAGCGGUCGAUAUCAGAUUAGGUAGUUGGUGGGGUAAAGGCCCACCAAGCCAACGAUCUGUAGCUGGUCUGAGAGGACGACCAGCCACACUGGAACUGAGACACGGUCCAGACUCCUACGGGAGGCAGCAGUGGGGAAUUUUGGACAAUGGGCGCAAGCCUGAUCCAGCCAUUCCGCGUGCAGGAUGAAGGCCCUCGGGUUGUAAACUGCUUUUGUACAGAACGAAAAGGUUUCUACUAAUACUAGGAGCUCAUGACGGUACUGUAAGAAUAAGCACCGGCUAACUACGUGCCAGCCGCCGCGGUAA
rnacentral:rRNA from 1 species